AUUGAACGCUGGCGGCAGGCCUAAUACAUGCAAGUCGAACGGCAGCACAGCAGAGCUUGCUCUGUGGGUGGCGAGUGGCGGACGGGUGAGGAAUACGUGGGAAUCUGCCCAGUCGUGGGGGAUAACGUAGGGAAACUUACGCUAAUACCGCAUGCGCCCUUCGGGGGAAAGCCGGGGACCUUCGGGCCUGGCGCGAUUGGAUGAGCCCACGUCGGAUUAGCUAGUUGGCGGGGUAAAGGCCCACCAAGGCGACGAUCCGUAGCUGGUCUGAGAGAGUGAUCAGCCACACUGGAACUGGGACACGGUCCAGACUCCUACGGGAGGCAGCAGUAGGGAAUAUUGGACAAUGGGCGCAAGCCUGAUUCAGCCAUGCCGCGUGAGUGAAGAAGGCCCUCGGGUUGUAAAGCUCUUUUGUCCGGAAAGAAAAGCGCCGGGUUAAUACCCUGGUGUCCUGACGGUACCGGAAGAAUAAGCACCGGCUAACUUCGUGCCAGCCGCCGCAGUAAAAC
rnacentral:rRNA from 1 species